rnacentral:rRNA from 1 species
AUGAGAUCUAAUCGUGCCCCUGGCCCGGACAAUAUCCCUGUUGAAUUUUAUAUUUAUCAACAUUGUUGGGAUGUAGUGGGUCCAGAUUUAUUUUGCUUGUUUGAAUGGUUCUAUGAAGGCUAGCUAGACGUGCAAUGCCUGAACUAUGGUAUUAUAACACUUUUGCCUAAGUCAACAGAUGCUAGGAAAAUCCAACAAUAUAGACCAAUCUGCUUGUUGCGAUGCCCAUACAAGCUGAUCACCAAAGUCAUGGACCUUAGAGUUAGCAAGGAUGCCCACAAAUUGUUUAGUAUUCAACAAAAUGCUUUCAUUAAGGGGAGGCAUAUAGUGGAUGGUAUUUUAUCUUUACAUGAGGUAAUGCACUAUACCCAUAUUAAAAAGCAAGUGGGAGUUGUUCUGAAGCUCGAUUUUGAGAAAACUUAUGACAAAGUUAAUGGGGAAUUCUUGCUUGAUUGUCAUGCGAAACGUGGAUUUAACUCCAAGUGGUGCGGGUGGGUAUCUCAAAUCCUUAAAAAUGGCACGGUUAGUGUGAAGAUCAAUGAUGAGUUACCCCCUACAUCCAAAGUGCUAAGGGGGUACGACAAGGUGAUCCAUAUUCCCCUUUUCCGUUUAAUCUUGCGGCUGAAUGCCUGA